rnacentral:rRNA from 1 species
AACGAACGCUGGCGGCAUGCCUAACACAUGCAAGUCGAACGAGACCUUCGGGUCUAGUGGCGCACGGGUGCGUAACGCGUGGGAACCUGCCCUUAGGUUCGCAAUAACUCCCCGAAAGGGGUGCUAAUACCGGAUAAUGUCUUCGGACCAAAGAUUUAUCGCCUCUGGAUGGUCCCGCGUUGGAUUAGCUAGUUGGUAGGGUAAACGCCUACCAAGGGGACGAUCCAUAGCUGGUCUGAGAGUAUGAUCAGCCACACUGGGAGUGAGACACGGCCCAGACUCCUACGGGAGGCGGCAGUGGGUAAUAUUGGACAACGGGGGAAAGCCUGAUCCAGCUAUGCCGGGUGAGUGAUGAAGGCCUUAGGGUUGUAAAGCUUUUUUAACCGGGAUGAUAAUGACGGUACCGGGAGAAUAAGCUCCGGCUAACUCCGUG